rnacentral:rRNA from 1 species
UACGAAGGGGGGCUAGCGUUGUUCGGAAUUACUGGGCGUAAAGCGCACGUAGGCGGCUUUGUAAGUUAGAGGUGAAAGCCUGGAGCUCAACUCCAGAACUGCCUUUAAGACUGCAUCGCUUGAAUCCAGGAGAGGUGAGUGGAAUUCCGAGUGUAGAGGUGAAAUUCGUAGAUAUUCGGAAGAACACCAGUGGCGAAGGCGGCUCACUGGACUGGUAUUGACGCUGAGGUGCGAAAGCGUGGGGAGCAAACAGG